rnacentral:rRNA from 1 species
UACGUAGGGUGCGAGCGUUAAUCGGAAUUACUGGGCGUAAAGCGUGCGCAGGCGGUUGUGCAAGACAGAUGUGAAAUCCCCGGGCUUAACCUGGGAACUGCAUUUGUGACUGCACAGCUGGAGUGCGGCAGAGGGGGAUGGAAUUCCGCGUGUAGCAGUGAAAUGCGUAGAGAUGCGGAGGAACACCGAUGGCGAAGGCAGCCCCCUGGGUCGACACUGACGCUCAGGCACGAAAGCGUGGGGAGCAAACAGG